rnacentral:rRNA from 1 species
CCUACGGGUGGCAGCAGUGGGGAAUAUUGGACAAUGGGGGGAACCCUGAUCCAGCCAUGCCGCGUGUGUGAAGAAGGCCCUCGGGUUGUAAAGCACUUUCAGUGAGGAAGAACGCCUGGUGGUUAAUACCCAUCAGGAAAGACAUCACUCACAGAAGAAGCACCGGCUAACUCCGUGCCAGCAGCCGCGGUAAUACGGAGGGUGCGAGCGUUAAUCGGAAUUACUGGGCGUAAAGCGCGCGUAGGUGGCUUGAUAAGCCGGUUGUGAAAGCCCCGGGCUCAACCUGGGAACGGCAUCCGGAACUGUCAAGCUAGAGUGCAGGAGAGGAAGGUAGAAUUCCAGGUGUAGCGGUGAAAUGCGUAGAGAUCGGGAGGAAUACCAGUGGCGAAGGCGGCCUUCUGGACUGACACUGACACUGAGGUGCGAAAGCGUGGGUAGCAAACAGGAUUAGAUACCCGAGUAGUC